rnacentral:rRNA from 1 species
UACGAAGGGGGCUAGCGUUGUUCGGAAUUACUGGGCGUAAAGCGUAUGCAGGCGGAUCGUUAAGUCGGGGGUGAAAUCCCGAGGCUCAACCUCGGAACUGCCUUCGAUACUGGCGACCUUCGAGUCCGGGAGAGGUGAGUGGAACUCCGAGUGUAGAGGUGAAAUUCGUAGAUAUUCGGAAGAACACCAGUGGCGAAGGCAGCUAACUAUUCUGUUCCUGACAUUGAGGCAUGAAAGCGUGGGGAGCAAAACAGG